rnacentral:rRNA from 1 species
AACGAACGCUGGCGGCGCGUUUUACGCAUGCAAGUCGAACGGCAAGCAUGGUAGCAAUACUGUGAAGAGAGUGGCAAACGGGUGAGUAACACGUAGGUGAUCUACCUUUGGAUGGGGGAUAGUCCGUGGAAACACGGGGUAAUACCGCAUGAGGCCCUUGGGGUAAAGCCCAGGGGUGAAAGGUGCAAUUGCACCGUCUGGGGAUGAGCCUGCGGCCCAUUAGGCAGUUGGCGGGGUAAAGGCCCACCAAACCGACGAUGGGUAGCCGGCCUGAGAGGGUGUACGGCCACACUGGAACUGAGACACGGUCCAGACUCCUACGGGAGGCAG